AAACCAUGGUGUGGACAUUGUAUAGUGUAGCCUUUGAAUCUUUCCCAGGCCUCACAAAUAGAUUCAGACUGCUUUUGGGUAAAACUGGAGAUUUCGUUCCUUAGCCU
rnacentral:snoRNA from 1 species